UACAUUGGGUGCAAACGUUGCUCGGAAUUAUUGGGCCUAAAGCAUCCGUAGCCGGUUCUACAAGUCUUCCGUUAAAUCCAGCUGCUUAACAGAUGGGCUGCGGAAGAUACUAUGGGGCUAGGAGGCGGGAGAGGCAAGCGGUACUCGAUGGGUAGGGGUAAAAUCCGUUGAUCCAUUGAAGACCACCAGUGGCGAAGGCGGCUUGCCAGAACGCGCUCGACGGUGAGGGAUGAAAGCUGGGGGAGCAAACCGG
rnacentral:rRNA from 1 species